GCAGUUUGAGGGGAUGUAAUCUGCCAGGAGUCGAGUUUGAAAGCUGCUCCUUCCUUCCUGUACCCAGGAGCAGCCCUGCUGAGCUCCCUGCUGCUCCAUCACAGCAAGCACUGCUCGCAUAGAGAAACCCCCCACCGGGUGCACAGUGCCAUUCUCUCCCUGUCAGCAGAACUCUGCUUGUAUGGGAUGUGGUGUUCUAUUUCAGUAAGAUUUGUUCAGCUUCUUCUUUUGGCAUUAACGAAGACGUCUAAUCAAUCAUUCUUUUAUUUCACAUCCAGCUGAGAAAGUGUUCAGGUGGGAUACCUGAGCUCCAAUAAUGCCCUUGAGAAAUUUCUCUUGAUUUCUUUUAUUUUUUCACAUCAAGAAGUUUCUUUUUCACAAACAUCUUCAGAUCUGCCCCCAUCCCUUAGGGCAUAAUGCUCUCAUUUGCACAGGAGGAUGCUACCUGCUGAUUUGAGCCCUGGGUCUACUGGAAGACUUUUUAAUUUUUGUGUACUUAAGUGAUUGGACUCAAAAAGUUAACUUGAAAACUGAUUCUGAUCCAUCUUCUGUGUCCAAAAAAAGUCUCUAAAAUUAUCUAAAACUAAAGAUAAAUGCAUUCUGCCUUUCCAGUUUCUGAUUCAUUAUAGGAAUUGAUUGACUUGGAGUGGCUGCAAAGCUGACAGCAUGUAGUCUAUUAAUGGAUUAACUCUACAAAGAUCCUGCCCUCUGUUAAAUCUGCUGCUGCAGUUCGGUGGGACCUGUGCCCAUGUCACUAAGAGCAGAACAGGACCCUGGCAGAACAAAUGUCAGGUAUGAACCAAGGAUGGAUGUCUUCCCUUCUUCUCACACUCAGAAGCCACGGUGUCAGCAUCCUGAGCAAAAAAAGAGGGAGAAAAAGGAUUGAACACCAAGAUCAGCACUUCCCAUCAUCUUACUUUGAUGAUUUAGAUCCUGUACUAAAGCCUAAAUCCAUUUUUAUGGCCUCAUCAGCCUCAACCUGACUGUCUGGUAACAUCCAGGCAGCUUAAACUGAGAACUGCCAGAUCUGUUUGAUCCUCACUCAAUUUUCAGAGCAAGGAAGACCUGGGCCCGCGGGAGAGGGCGAUAAGCUGUCUCUCUGGAAGAAAUUUUGGUGUUGCUCAUCUGUUCCGCUCCGUGUUGUAAUUGCUUACACCGUGCAUGAGACCUGGGCUCUUCAGAUAGCAGAAAAUAGUUCAGAGGCUCUGAUGAACAUCUGCACUUCAGGCUGCCUAUCUGAAAUUAAUCUUUCUUUUUGAGCACGGGGUUGUAUCACUUGGACAUGAAAAGGCCACGAUCUUGUCAUCUCCUUCUUGCAUACCUAAUGUCUGCGCUGGCUUUGGAUCAAUUGCAAAAAAUGAAAUAAACAGACCAAUUUUGCCA
rnacentral:lncRNA from 1 species